rnacentral:rRNA from 1 species
UAAGGAAUAUUGCGCAAUGGGCGAAAGCCUGACGCAGCGACGCCGCGUGGGGGAUGAAGGUCUUCGGAUUGUAAACCCCUUUCGGGAGGGAAGAUGGAGUGGGGUAACCCACUCGGACGGUACCUCCAGAAGCAGCCACGGCUAACUUCGUGCCAGCAGCCGCGGUAAUACGAAGGUGGCAAGCGUUAUUCGGAUUUACUGGGCGUACAGGGAGCGUAGGCGGUUCGGUAAGCCCUCUGUGAAAUCUUCAGGCUUAACCUGGAAAAGUCGGAGGGGACUGCCGGGCUAGAGGACGGGAGAGGAGCGCGGAAUUCCCGGUGUAGCGGUGAAAUGCGUAGAGAUCGGGAGGAAGGCCGGUGGCGAAGGCGGCGCUCUGGAACGUUUCUGACGCUGAGGUGCGAAAGCGUGGGGAGCAAACAGGAUUAGAUACCCCUGUAGUCCCUGAGCGGGCUGGCAAGGCGCAU